rnacentral:snoRNA from 1 species
CUAUGAUGAACACAGCUAGAUGACGAGUCUUAUUCAGUCAAUCUGAUGCAGACAACACUCAAACUACCAUUCAUGCAUUUCCUGAAC